rnacentral:rRNA from 1 species
CCUGGUUGAUUCUGCCAGUAGUCAUAUGCUUGUCUCAAAGAUUAAGCCAUGCAUGUCUAAGUAUAAGCAAUCAUACUGUGAAACUGCGAAUGGCUCAUUAAAUCAGUUAUAGUUUAUUUGAUAGUACCUUUACCUGGAUAACUGUGGUAAUUCUAGAGCUAAUACAUGCUAAAAACCCCGACUUCGGGAGGGGUGUAUUUAUUAGAUAAAAAACCAAUGCCCUCCGGGGCUCCUUGGUGAUUCAUGAUAACUUAACGAAUCGCAUGGCCUUGCGCCGGCGAUGGUUCAUUCAAAUUUCUGCCCUAUCAACUUUCGAUGGUAAGGUAUUGGCUUACCAUGGUUUCAACGGGUAACGGGGAAUUAGGGUUCUAUUCCGGAGAGGGAGCCUGAGAAACGGCUACCACAUCCAAGGAAGGCAGCAGGCGCGCAAAUUACCCAAUCCCAAUACGGGGAGGUAGUGACAAUAAAUACUGAUACGGGGCUCUUUCGGGUCUCGUAAUUGGAAUGAGUACAAUCUAAAUCCCUUAACGAGGAACAAUUGGAGGGCAAGUCUGGUGCCAGCAGCCGCGGUAAUUCCAGCUCCAAUAGCGUAUAUUAAAGUUGUUGCCGUUAAAAAGCUCGUAGUUGAACCUUGGACCUGGCUGAUCUGUCCUCCUAAUCGAGCGUACGGAUUCGGUCGGGUCUUUCCUUCUGGGGAACCCUAUGCCCUUCACUGGGGGUAGCGGGGAACCAGGACUUUUACCUUGAAAAAAUUAGAGUGUUCAAAGCAGGCCUUUGCUCGAGUACAUUAGCAUGGAAUAAUAGAAUAGGACAUCGGUUCUAUUUUGUUGGUUUCUAGGACCGCUGUAAUGAUUAAUAGGGAUAGUCGGGGGCGUCCGUAUUCAAUUGUCAGAGGUGAAAUUCUUGGAUUUAUUGAAGACGAACUACUGCAAAAGCAUUCGCCAACGAUGUUUUCAUUAAUCAGUGAACGAAAGUUAGGGGAUCGAAGACGAUCAGAUACCGUCGUAGUCUUAACCAUAAACUAUGCCGACUAGGGAUCGGACGGUGGUUUUUUUAUGCCCCGUUCGGCACCUUACGAGAAAUCAAAGUGUUUGGGCUCGGGGGGGAGUAUGGUCGCAAGGCUGAAACUUAAAGAAAUUGACGGAAGGGCACCACAAGGCGUGGAGCCUGCGGCUUAAUUUGACCCAACACGGGGAAACUCACCACGUCCAGACAUGCUUAGGAUUGACAGAUUGAUAGCUCUUUCUUGAUUGUAUGGGUGGUGGUGCAUGGCCGUUCUUAGUUGGUGGAGUGAUUUGUCUGCUUAAUUGCGAUAACGAACGAGACCUUGACCUGCUAAAUAGCCCGGCUGACUUUUGUCGGCCGCCA